rnacentral:rRNA from 1 species
CACGUAGGGGGCGAGCGUUGUCCGGAUUUAUUGGGCGUAAAGAGCUCGUAGGCGGUUCGAUAAGUCGGGUGUGAAAACUCUGGGCUCAACUCAGAUACGCCACCCGAUACUGUUGUGACUUGAGUCCGGUAGGGGAGUAUGGAAUUCCCGGUGUAGCGGUGAAAUGCGCAGAUAUCGGGAGGAACACCAGUGGCGAAGGCGGUACUCUGGGCCGGAACUGACGCUGAGGAGCGAAAGCGUGGGUAGCGAACAGG